UGUGUAGGCGGCUGGACAAGUCUGGUGUGAAAUCUUCACCGCUCAACGGGAAGGGGUCACUGGAAACUGUUCAGCUUGAGUAUGGUAGAGGCAAGCGGAAUUCCUGGUGUAGCGGUGGAAUGUGUAGAUAUCAGGAAGAACAUCGGUGGCGAAGGCGGCUUGCUGGGCCAUCACUGACGCUGAGACACGAAAGCGUGGGGAGCAAACGGGAUUAGAUACCCCGGUAGUCCACGCUGUAAACUGUGCGCACUAGGUGUGGGGGGUAUCGACCCCUCCCGUGCCGACGCUAACGCAUUAAGUGCGCCGCCUGGGGAGUACGGCCGCAAGGUUGAA
rnacentral:rRNA from 1 species